AUUGAACGCUGGCGGCAUGCUUUACACGUGCAAGUCGAACGGCAGCGCGGGCUUCGGCCUGGCGGCGGGUGGCGAACGGGUGAGUAAUACAUCGGAACGUGCCCAGUAGUGGGGGAUAGCUCGGCGAAAGCCGGAUUAAUACCGCAUACGACCUGAGGGUGAAAGCGGGGGAUCUUCGGACCUCGCGCUAUUGGAGCGGCCGAUGGCAGAUUAGCUAGUUGGUGGGGUAAAGGCCUACCAAGGCGACGAUCUGUAGCUGGUCUGAGAGGACGACCAGCCACACUGGGACUGAGACACGGCCCAGACUCCUACGGGAGGCAGCAGUGGGGAAUUUUGGACAAUGGGCGAAAGCCUGAUCCAGCAAUGCCGCGUGUGUGAUGAAGGCCUUCGGGUUGUAAAGCACUUUUGGCGGGAACGAAAAGGACUGUGCCAAUACCACGGUUCGAUGACGGUACCCGCAGAAUAAGCACCGGCUAACUACGUG
rnacentral:rRNA from 1 species